GAUGAAGAACGUAGCGAAAUACGAUACGUAAUGUGAAUUGCAGAAUUCAGUGAAUCAUCGAAUCUUUGAACGCAUAUUGCGCUCUCUGGUAUUCCGGAGAGCAUGCUUGUUUGAGUAUCAGUAAACACCUCAACUUCCAUAUCUUUUUUGAAAUGGGAGUUGGACUUGAGUGAUCCCAACGCUUUUCCUCACCGAAAAGUGGCGGGUUACUUGAAAUGCAGGUGCAGCUGGACUUUUCUCUGAGCUAUAAGCAUAUCUAUUUAGUCUGCCUAAAAAACAGAUUAUUACCUUUGCUGCAGCUAACAUAAAGGAGAUUAGUUCUUGUGCUGACUGAUGCAGGAUUCACAAAGACGGCUUCGGCCGACUUUGUAAACUCGAUCUCAAAUCAAGUAAGACUACCCGCUGAACUUAAGCAUAUCAAUAAGCGGAGGA
rnacentral:misc_RNA from 1 species